rnacentral:rRNA from 2 species
AUUGAACGCUGGCGGCGUGCUUAACACAUGCAAGUCGUGCGAGAAAGGUUCCUUCGGGGACUGAGUAGAGCGGCGCACGGGUGAGUAACGCGUGGGUGACCUACCUGGGAGAUCGGGAUAACAGCGGGAAACUGCUGCUAAUACCGGCUACGCUUCCUAUUUCACUUUAGGGGGGAAAGGCGGCCUCUGCUUGCAAGCUGCCGCUCUCAGAUGGGCCCGCGUCUCAUUAGCUAGUUGGUGGGGUAACGGCUCACCAAGGCAACGAUGAGUAGCUGGUCUGAGAGGAUGAUCAGCCACACUGGGACUGGAACACGGCCCAGACUCCUACGGGAGGCAGCAGUGGGGAAUAUUGCGCAAUGGGCGAAAGCCUGACGCAGCGACGCCGCGUGAGGGAAGAAGGCCUUCGGGUCGUAAACCUCUGUCUAGAGGGAAGAAACCAUAGGGGUCGAACAGGCUUCUGUGUUGACGGUACCUCUGAAGGAAGCACCGGCUAACUCCGUG